rnacentral:rRNA from 1 species
GACGAACGCUGGCGGCGUGCUUAACACAUGCAAGUCGAACGGUAAGGCUCCAGCUUGCUGGGGUACACGAGUGGCGAACGGGUGAGUAACACGUGGGUGACCUGCCCUGCACUUCGGGAUAAGCCUGGGAAACUGGGUCUAAUACCGGAUAGGACCAUGGUGUGGAUACUGUGGUGGAAAGUUUUUUCGGUGUGGGAUGGGCCCGCGGCCUAUCAGCUUGUUGGUGGGGUAAUGGCCUACCAAGGCGGCGACGGGUAGCCGGCCUGAGAGGGUGGACGGCCAAAUUGGGACUGGGGACCGGGCCAGGCUCCUACGGGAGGCAGCCGGGGGGAAUAUUGCACAAUGGGCGGAAGCCUGAUGCAGCGACGCCGCGUGGGGGAUGACGGCCUUCGGGUUGUAAACUCCUUUCACCAUCGACGAAGGGUUUCUGACGGUAGAUGGAGAAGAAGCACCGGCUAACUACGUG